rnacentral:rRNA from 1 species
GAUGAACGCUGGCGGCGUGCCUAAUACAUGCAAGUCGAGCGAACGGACGAGAAGCUUGCUUCUCUGAUGUUAGCGGCGGACGGGUGAGUAACACGUGGAUAACCUACCUAUAAGACUGGGAUAACUUCGGGAAACCGGAGCUAAUACCGGAUAAUAUUUUGAACCGCAUGGUUCAAAAGUGAAAGACGGUCUUGCUGUCACUUAUAGAUGGAUCCGCGCUGCAUUAGCUAGUUGGUAAGGUAACGGCUUACCAAGGCAACGAUGCAUAGCCGACCUGAGAGUGUGAUCGGCCACCCUGGGACUGAGACACGGUCCAGACUCCUACGGGAGGCAGCAGUAGGGAAUCUUCCGCAAAGGGCGAAAGCCUGACGGAGCAACGCCGCGUGAGUGAUGAAGGUCUUCGGAUCGUAAAACUCUGUUAUUAGGGAAGAACAUAUGUGUAAGUAACUGUGCACAUCUUGACGGUACCUAAUCAGAAAUCCACGGCUAACUACGUG